rnacentral:lncRNA from 7 species
CCCUAGUUUUCUGCUGAACGCGAACCAUGUCCAUGCCGAACCCCCGCGCACACCACGCCAGCGGGGGUGGAGACGAAGGCGGCGCUGGCCGCGGCAAGUGACUCGGCAUAAGCAGCGCAGGAUCGCCGUCGUCCAUCCCCACCGCAGAAUCGGUAGUGCAGAGAGACUGAUAGUUGAUGUGGCAUGACAGCUCAGUAGUUCACUGCCCAUAGACAUAAUGUGAUAAUGCUCAUGUUUUCACACCUCACUAUGACAGAACUUGGUGCAUUAAGACUCUGUCUGGGACAUGGCGACUAACAGAAGUCCAAGAUUCCUUUCUCAUGGAUGGAUGGUCCCAAUUGAGUUGGACGUUUUCGGUGGGAAGCGGACAAACCAAAGCAGGUUCCCGUUUGACACCUAAACUUUCUUAUACAAAAUUACUUCUUGCAAGACCUUUUCCAACAUAACACUUACAUAUAAAUCUGCAUCCUUCUAACCCUAACGCUUUCUAGUUGUCUGAAUUGUGCCCAUAUUUUGAAGCACAUGAAAGUCUAUUCCUUGUCAUGGGAGCAAUCAAGAGAUUGCUUAGAUCACUAGCUCACUGUUGAACGUUGAUUGGUUGGCGCGAGCUUUGCUUCGAUCGUGAGGAGUGGGUGAUUUGAUCCAUUCAUCGCUUGUUCUGAGCAUUCGGGGACUAGGUUGUGGCAAGACAAAAUCUGAUUGGAAGUAUUGAUACAGGUUGUGGCAAGACAUUUUUUUAGUUUUAUAAUCCCUUUCUCG